AAUGAAGAAUGACUGCUGAUGGAUGUGGGGUUUCUUUUUGAUCGACAAAAAUGCUCCAAAAUUGAUGGUGGUGAUGGUUAUACAACUCUGCCAGCACACCAAAAACCCGUGAAUUGUGCACUUGGAACGAGUUGUCUGUGUGUGAAUUACAUCUCCGUAAAGCUGUUAUAAAGGCCAUUUGGAGGGUGACUGGCAUGUGAUCUUCAUGGCGUAAGCGUUAGCUCUGAUGAUGAUGGGGGCAGUGGGGUGGUGGUGGUUGCCCGUAACUGUUCGAAACACGCAGUGUGUCUUACUGUGAAGCAUUCUGUUGUAUAGGAUCUCCUCUAUCGAAGGUCUAGGUCACUAGUGGAUUAUGAAAAUGCUAAUAAAGCACUGGAUAAAGCAAGAGCGAAAAAUAAAGAUGUUCUUCAGGCUGAGACAUCCCAACAAUUAUGUUGUCAGAAAUUUGAAAAAAUAUCUGAAUCUGCAAAACAAGAACUUAUAGAUUUUAAGACGAGAAGAGUUGCCGCAUUCAGAAAAAAUUUAGUGGAACUGGCAGAGUUAGAACUGAAGCAUGCAAAGGGUAACCUACAGUUGCUGCAGAACUGCUUGGCAGUGUUAAAUGGAGACACAUAAGCCACACUCCGCCUUUGGUUAAAAAGGGCUGCCUUCCUUCAGAUUUUAUUUUUGUUUUCUUAAUGAGAUUAGGCAUUUACUGCUCACUGGAAACAAAAGAAACAGCUGACCAAGUGCAUCUACUCUCCUUUUUUUCUGAGAAGCGAUGGAGCGGUGCCGUCCACGGGUUUUGCGGGUCCGUCCGUCUGUGUGGUGGAACGCUGCCCUCCUGCAGCUCCCCGUGUGCUCCCUGGGACGGUUGUCCAUCACCGUGCGCUCCUCCUCUUCCGAAGCCCAGCGUUCAGUCCUUUUUUUAAGUAGCCUCUGUAACCGUCUUUAUUUUCUGAAUAGCGUUCCUUACGGCUGCCAAUCUUAUUUCCCUUUAAGUAAUUUCUGAUGUUUAACCCUUUCAAAGAUGCAUUGUUCAGACAAGAUAAAGGUUGCCAUUACCUUUUGUUUUCUCUUGGUGUUUUUGUUAUGUUUUGUUUUGUUUUUUUAAAAACAUUGUAUGCCACCUUAGUUCAUCCAUGUAUCCUGGUAAAAGCAUCUUAAUCAGACUUAUUUUUAAUUAAUGAACAUUUCUUAGAAGUUUUGGGACAGACUUUAUGUAAUCUUUAUAAGUAUGAUUUCUGAUGAAAAGCAACUGCAUUAGUAUGUUUGCCUUAAACUUGUAGACUAAACCGACUAUUGUCAAAUAAACCGUGGUAACAGUGAUAGUUUUUAACUCUGUGGUCAUUGUAUCACUCUAAAAUUUGGAGUAGCUAUAAUCAAUCUACUCCUUCGUUAUGCUUUACAGUGCAGGUCUUUUCUCUUUUUUCUCUGAAAAUGGCAUGUUGAACCAGGUUCACCAAUCCCCUUAUGAAAGAAUGAACUGCUUCUCUGUGUGCUCUCAGCCUUUCCUAGAAGAUGGAAUUGGGCAGAGGCAGGUUCGAAACAGCUGUUUCUAAAAUACAGGAGGCAGCAGAAUGGUCCGUCUGUGAUGGUUUCCUGAAUUCCAUCCCUAGCCGGGCCAGUUAACCCUGCGACACGCCAUCGAGCCACUUGAUAGUUCUACUAGUGUACAGAUUGGUAUGGAGAGAGAAAGAGUGCUGUAAGGAACAGCCCUGGGGGGGGGGGGGGGGGGGGGGGGA